GACAGAGGGUGCAAACGUUGUUCGGAUUUACUGGGCGUAAAGCGCGUGUAGGCGGCUUUGCAAGUCGGAUGUGAAAGCCCACGGCUCAACCGUGGAAGUGCAUCCGAAACUGCAUGGCUCGAGUCUCGGAGAGGAAGGUGGAAUGCUUGGUGUAGAGGUGAAAUUCGUAGAUAUCAAGCAGAACACCUGCGGCGAAGGCGGCCUUCUGGACGGUGACUGACGCUGAGACGUGAAAGCGUGGGGAGCAAACAGG
rnacentral:rRNA from 1 species